CCUACGGGCGGCAGCAGUGGGGAAUAUUGGACAAUGGGGGGAACCCUGAUCCAGCCAUGCCGCGUGUGUGAAGAAGGCCCUCGGGUUGUAAAGCACUUUCAGUGAGGAAGAACGCCUGGUGGUUAAUACCCAUCAGGAAAGACAUCACUCACAGAAGAAGCACCGGCUAACUCCGUGCCAGCAGCCGCGGUAAUACGGAGGGUGCGAGCGUUAAUCGGAAUUACUGGGCGUAAAGCGCGCGUAGGUGGCUUGAUAAGCCGGUUGUGAAAGCCCCGGGCUCAACCUGGGAACGGCAUCCGGAACUGUCAAGCUAGAGUGCAGGAGAGGAAGGUAGAAUUCCCGGUGUAGCGGUGAAAUGCGUAGAGAUCGGGAGGAAGACCAGUGGCGAAGGCGGCCUUCUGGACUGACACUGACACUGAGGUGCGAAAGCGUGGGUAGCAAACAGGAUUAGAUACCCGAGUAGUC
rnacentral:rRNA from 1 species